GAUAGUAACGGCGAGUGAACUCGGAAAAGCCCAGCGCUAAAUCGCACUGCUUUUGUAGUGUGAGGUGUAGCGUAUAGAGCGUAUUUUCCUAAGCCGACGUCGAUUUAAGUCUUCUAUGACUAGGGCUCCGCAGAAGGUUAUAGACCUGUCCAAUCGUCGUCGGUGGUGGAGCGUGCGUUCUUGGAGUCGGGUUGUUUGGGAUCGCAGCCCSAAGAAGGUGGUAAACUUCAUCUAAGGCUAAAUACGGCCACGAAACCGAUAGCAAACAAGUACCGUGAGGGAAAGUUGCAAAGCACUUUGAAGAGAGAGUUCAAGAGGACGUGAAACCGAUGAGAUGGAAACGGAAAGAGGUACCGAAAAUGCUUGUAUUCAGCUGCCUUUUUGCGUGUGCGUUGCCUUUGCGAUCCCGCUAGGGUUGCGAGGUAAGGCUUCAUGCGGACUGGCAGUGCAUUUGCGAGUAAUGUGCGCUGCGGCGUGUGGUUAGGUCAUCUGAUGCGUGAUUAGAGGACUCCUUUUGGAGAAACCUGGUUGCGCGGAUGUCGAUUCGAGCUGCAUGUUGAAGAAUUGGCCAACGUGCGGGGUGGCUGCUAAGGUCGUUCCUUGCGUAAAUCGCAUGCGAUUUGCGCUUGCGGAUAGCCUUGGUAGUCGCUUCGUAAACAGUUCCGACCGCAGUGUCAAAGGUGCUCAUCUUUCCGACCCGUCUUGAAACACGGACCAAGGAGUAUACAGUAUGUGCGAGUCAUUGAGUUCUAAACUCAAAGGCGUAAUGAAAGUAAAGAUUCCGUAAGGUUUUGAUAUGCGAUCUCGGUUGCCUCGGUAGCUGAGAGCAGCAUAGCCCCGUCUUGACCGCUUGCGGUAGGGCGGAGGUAGAGCGCAUGCUAUGUGACCCGAAAGAUGGUGAACUAUGCUUGAACAGGAUGAAGCCAGAGGAAACUCUGGUGGAAGUCCGAAGCGAUUCUGACGUGCAAAUCGAUCGUCUGAUUUGAGUAUAGGGGCGAAAGACUAUCGACC
rnacentral:rRNA from 1 species